rnacentral:lncRNA from 1 species
CAGCCACAAAGUUAUAAUAUAAGUGUUAAUGAAUUUACAGAUGUUAUGAAUCCAUCAAGUAGCACAUCAACUGUUAAUAAUGAAUCAACGAAUACAGUGAGUACUAAUAAUAAUGCAGCGGGAGAAAUAGGCACCAAUAAUUAUGCAACUGUAACUGUGAGUUUUAAUAAUGAUACAGCUGAAGAAAUUAAUUAUGUUAGUUUUAAUAAUUCAUUAUUAAAUUUGGAUUUUCUGCAAAAACAAAUGCAAAUAACAAGUUUGUCAACUAACCCAGGAUUAUACAUGGUUAUGAUUGGAUACUGGACACAUUUUUUUAUUACUAAUGGAUAUAUGCAUAGUGAUUUACUUGAAUCACAACAUGCACUAGGUAGUAUUGCAUCUUAUCAAGAAGCAUUAAAUAACGUUGGUUAUAUGCUAUCUGGGAAGGGUGGUUUUAAUAUACUAGAAAGUAUAUUGGAUCAUUUGUAUGAAACCGCAAAUUUGUCAUACAAUAUAGAUAGCCCAUCAGAUGUCAGUAGUGCAUUAAAUGGUAAUGGACAAGAGGAUAUGUUCAAUUAUUUUGUUGGAUAUUGGGCAAGUUAUUUUGCAUAUAAUGGAUUAAAUACAUUGCAAAGUUUAGGUUUUUCAGUAGAAGCAAUAAAUUUGAUUUUUAUGGGACAUGAACAAUUUCAUUUAGCUUUGUUACAAAAUAGUACUCAAGCUAUGAUUGCUUAUCCAUUGACCCCUAACUUUUUUAUUAAUGAAGGAUUUCAAGGAUAUACUGCAUUGAAUGGUAUAACUUAUGCACCAUAUACUGUUAUGUUUGAUAAUGUAAUAAAUGUUGCGAGUGCUAGUGAAAAUACAGCUGAACAUAUGAACGAUAGAAAUGAAUCAAAUACGAUAGAACAUGGUAAUACAUUAAGUGAAAAAACAAAUAAUGCGCAUAGUGAUGUAAAUACAAACGAACAAAUGAAUGUUGAAAACGAUUUAGUUGCGAAAGAACAUGCUAACAAUUCCACCCAUGAAACGAAUUAUGCAUAUGAUGCUUUAAAUGUAGCUACCCAAAUGAACGAUGUAAAUAUAGUUGCACAAAUGAACGAUGGAAAUGUGAAUGCACAAAUGAACGAUGGAAAUGUGAAUGCAUAUAUGAACUAUGGAAAUGUGAAUGCACAAAUGAACUAUGGAAAUGUAACUGCACAAAUGAACGAUGGAAAUGUAACUGCACAAAUGAACGAUGGAAAUGUGAAUGCACAUAUGAACGAUAUAAUUGACUGGGCUACUACAU